rnacentral:rRNA from 1 species
UACGGAGGGGGCUAGCGUUGUUCGGAAUUACUGGGCGUAAAGCGCACGUAGGCGGUGUGUCACGUCGGCCGUGAAAACCUGCAGCUUAACUGUGGGCGUGCGGUCGAUACGGGCAUCACUGGAGUUCGGCAGGGGAGACUGGAAUUCCUGGUGUAGCGGUGAAAUGCGCAGAUAUCAGGAGGAACACCGGUGGCGAAGGCGGGUCUCUGGGCCGAUACUGACGCUGAGGAGCGAAAGCGUGGGGAGCAAACAGG